CAGUAGCGUAUAUUAAAGUUGUUGCAGUUAAAAAGCUCGUAGUUGAAGCUCUGUCGUUCGGACUCGUGCGCUUCGGCAAAGGAGUCUGCGCGACAUCCAUCUGAGCAACGGCCCUGGCAUUCAUUUGUCGCGGUCGGGAUCAGAUACUUUACCUUGAGCAAAUUAGAGUGUUCCAGGCAGGCUUUGGCCUGAAUAGUCCAGCAUGGAAUAAUAGAAGAGGACUGAGUGUCAUUUAUUGGUGUUAUGGCAUUUAGUAAUGAUUAAUAGGGAUAGUUGGGGGCAUUCGUACUUAAUUGUCAGAGGUGAAAUUCUAUGAUUUAUUAAAGACGAACUUAUGCGAAAGCAUUUGCCAAGGAUGUUUUCAUUAAUCAAGAACGAAAGUUAAGGGAU
rnacentral:rRNA from 1 species